AUGAGUAAUAAUAUACAGUUAUGUUUUUCAGAUAUAUAUAUACAAUAUCAAAGUACAUUUCCACACAUAUUAUAUCUAAGUCCUAACCAUCUCUAUUCUCUUUUAUUUAUCUUUAGAAUCACUUUAAUACGUAGGAUCUAUCUUUGUUUAGUACUAAGUUAUUGUAUUUUAUAGAGGGGGUGGGAGAUGAACAGAUAGAAUAGGGGUGGGUGAAAGAGGGACAAGAGAGAGGGAAGCAGAUUAAAUUUUCUUUUCUUUCAUUUCCAGCAAUAUUGUUCCAGUUCGAGACUACUUGAUACGUAAGAGUAAAGCUUAAAAGAUCCUUCUUGUUUCCAAGUCCAGAUUCUCUGUAGCGCACAAGGCUAUGAGAUUUCCUCUAGUUACUACUUUUAUCGUUUCCCACAAGAUUGAGGGGUCUGUCUCCGGCAAUGGCGGAUUUCCCGGAUGAACAGUCUAUUAGAGGGUUGAGAGCUACAUUGAGGUCUCCUCCAAGUAUGAUGAUCCCUUCAGCGAAUUCCUGAAGUUGGGAUAUUACUUCUUUUGCAUAUUUGGCCUGAUUGACAUUUGGUAAAUAUACUGAACAUAAAGUCAUGCAUGUGUUAUAGAUUUGUGCUUUCAACAUUGUAUAAUGCCCUUCCUUGUCUGUUUUGGAAUCCAAAACUUUAAUAGGCAGAUCUUUAUGUAGUAAUAUACCUGUGCCUUUGACUUUUUUUUCGGGGUUCGUACUUAAAAACACAUGUGGGAACCAUUUAUUUUUGAUUAUUGCAGCAUGUGAACUUUUAAUAUGCGUUUCUUGUAUAAAUAAAAUUUUUGUACCCUGUCUGUGGCAGUUGUUGAUAAUUUGAGCUCUCUUACGUGGAUUGUUUAAUCCAUUAACGUUUUGUGACCAUAUUUUGAUUUGUAUGUUGCGACCCAUCUUUAGUUGAGAUUGGGCUAUAUAUCUUCUGAAGUCUGCUUCGGGGAGAAGGGAAGAAAAGAUAGAAUAGUAGAUUCUGAACUGGGGAGUAAUUCCCGAUAAACAUUUGUAACAUUUUGUGAA